GAUGGUGGUUAUAGCAUUGAGGAAACACCUGUUCCCAUACCGAACACAGUAGUUAAGCUCAAUCGCGCUGAUGGUACUGCACGGGCAACUGUGUGGAAGAGUAAGUCGCCGCCAUCU
rnacentral:rRNA from 1 species